AAAGGAAUAGACGGGGGCCCGCACAAGCAGUGGAGUAUGUGGUUUAAUUCGAAGCAACGCGAAGAACCUUACCAGGUCUUGACAUCCAGCGAAUUUGCAAGAGAUUGCGAAGUGCCCUUCGGGGAGCGCUGAGACAGGUGGUGCAUGGUUGUCGUCAGCUCGUGUCGUGAGAUGUUGGGUUAAGUCCCGCAACGAGCGCAACCCUUGUUAAUAGUUGCUACGGUAAGAGCACUCUAUUAAGACUGCCGUUGACAAAACGGAGGAAGGUGGGGAUGACGUCAAAUCAUCAUGCCCCUUAUGACCUGGGCUACACACGUACUACAAUGGUCGUCAACAGAGGGAUGCAAUACCGCGAGGUGGAGCAAACCCCCAAAAGCGAUCUCAGUUCAGAUUGCAGUCUGCAACCCGACUGUAUGAAGACGGAAUUGCUAGUAAUCGCGGAUCAGCAUGCCGCGGUGAAUACGUUCCCGGGCCUUGUACACACCGCCCGU
rnacentral:rRNA from 1 species